AGGAGUGACAACUGCAGGCUGCUGGAGAAACAGCAAGGUUCUCAGAAUUUUUCUUCUACCUUGAUCAAAUGUCACAGAAGGUACUUCCUGGUAUACACACAGGAGUUGCCUGCAGAAAACGUCCUGCAGAAUGUUCCAGGAAUUUGAUCUCCAUGUACUGUUCUGAGAGGCUAGCCUGCGGAGAAUGAAAGUAAGGAGCAAGCAAGUGAUCAUUACUCACCACCUCAAUCCACCCAAGGGCUUUCACCUGGAACCCAAAGUGCGUAAGUAAUUAAGAUUUGUGUUCUUUGGGGAAAGGAGUAUCGACAAAGAUGUAGCUUGCUUCUCAUGUGAGAAAAGUACUUACAUACCUACACAGUUCUACUUGGAAGGCCUAUGCAUUUUACUAUAUGUAAAUUACAACUCAAUUUUA
rnacentral:lncRNA from 1 species